GUUGACCUCGGAUCAGGUAGGGAUACCCGCUGAACUUAAGCAUAUCAAUAAGCGGAGGAAAAGAAACCAACAGGGAUUGCUCUAGUAACGGCGAGUGAAGCAGCAAUAGCUCAAAUUUGAAAUCUGGCGUCUUCGGCGUCCGAGUUGUAAUUUGUAGAGGAUGCUUCUGGGCAGCCACCGACCUAAGUUCCUUGGAACAGGACGUCAUAGAGGGUGAGA
rnacentral:rRNA from 1 species